ensembl:snoRNA Snord68 small nucleolar RNA, C/D box 68
UGAUGACAUUCUCCGGAAUCGCUGCACCUCGCUGAUGAAAGUGCUUUUGAACCCUUUUCCAUCUGACGCCGAGCCUCCUC